rnacentral:tRNA from 1 species
GUUAUAGUAGUUUAAAUAAAACAUUGGUCUUGUAAUCCAAAAUUGAGAUAGUUUCUCCUAAAACU